AGUUAUGAAUUUGUUUCUUUCUUCUGAAAAGCAAUAGUCUGAGCUUUGUUGUUUUGAUAGCAGAAACCAAUUGGAAUCAAGAAUCGGCCUCCAAACCAAAGUAGUCGAAAUUGUCUUCUGGGGCUGUAGAGGAGGACAAAAAUCCCUGAUCAAUGCAAACACUAGAUUAAUCUAACAUUUGUGGUUUAUUGGAAUCCCCACGAUCCAGGCUGAGGGAUUUACAGUGGAGUUUAAGGUGAUCUCAUAAUUCAAGUGAAGGGAAGUAGAUAUUUGCUUCACAAGGUCACACAUUGCAGCUUCAAGCAUUCUUCAAAUCUUGCAUACUCCAUGGCUAGAUGGACAAAAUUUCAACUAUUAUACUCUACAAAGCAUGAAGCUGACAACCUUUCAAAUCAGUACAUGAAUGAGCUUCGUGGUUAUUGUACAUAGUGUUAAAUGAACAUGUGAAAAAUUUGUUUCAAACUGAAAACUUCAUUUGAUUAUGGGUAGUUGUUAGUUCACUUAGAACAACAGAAAUUGAUUACUGUUAUGCAUCCCUAAAUGCAGUUAUUUUUGUCUAUGCAAGCUUUUUCAUUUGUAAUAUUACCAAGUCCCGCAGCAAAGCGUGGGCAAAUUUUCUAGUAUGAAC